UAGAAUUUUUUUUUUUUCUUUAUUACGGCCGUGCAAUGCCGAGCCGACACACGUCACACAAAUGGUCGAACAGAUGCUGCUGCUUGGUCAUCGACUGACGGGUGAAUGACAGACUAGUAACUAGCCAUUAACACUGGGAUAGGUCAGGGCAUCCGGGGGGUAAUACCGGAUAACAUUUUGAACCGCGUGGUUGGAAAUUGAAAGUCGGCUUCCGCCGUCACUUCUGGAUCGCCCCGCGUCGCAUUAGCUAGUUGGUGAGGUAACGGCUCACCAAGGCAACGAUGCGUAGCCGACCUGAGAUGGUGAUCGGCCACACUGGGACUGAGACACGGCCCAGACUCCUACGGGAGGCAGCAGUAGGGAAUCUUCCGCAAUGGACGAAAGUCUGACGGAGCAACGCCGCGUGAGUGAUGAAGGCUUUCGGGUCGUAAAACUCUGUUGUUAGGGAAGAACAAGUGCUAGUUGAAUAAGCUGGCACCUUGACGGUACCUAACCAGAAAGCCACGGCUAACUACGUGCCAGCAGCCGCGGUAAUACGUAGGUGGCAAGCGUUAUCCGGAAUUAUUGGGCGUAAAGCGCGCGCAGGUGGUUUCUUAAGUCUGAUGUGAAAGCCCACGGCUCAACCGUGGAGGGUCAUUGGAAACUGGGAGACUUGAGUGCAGAAGAGGAAAGUGGAAUUCCAUGUGUAGCGGUGAAAUGCGUAGAGAUAUGGAGGAACACCAGUGGCGAAGGCGACUUUCUGGUCUGUUACUGACACUAGCGCGAAGCGUCC
rnacentral:rRNA from 1 species